rnacentral:tRNA from 1 species
GUGGCUCAGUGGUAUAGCACUUGCCUUGCGUGCUUGAGGCCCUGGGUUUGAUUCCCAGC